rnacentral:antisense_RNA from 1 species
CUUGACCGAGCCGAGCCACAGCGGCACAGCCCGGCCCUGACCGUACGUGGCCAGCAGGGCCUGGGCUUC